GAUGAACGCUGGCGGCGUGCCUAAUACAUGCAAGUCGAGCGAACAGAUGAGGAGCUUGCUCCUCUGACGUUAGCGGCGGACGGGUGAGUAACACGUGGAUAACCUACCUAUAAGACUGGGAUAACUUCGGGAAACCGGAGCUAAUACCGGAUAAUAUAUUGAACCGCAUGGUUCAAUAGUGAAAGACGGUUUUGCUGUCUCUUAUAGAUGGAUCCGCGCCGCAUUAGCUAGUUGGUAAGGUAACGGCUUACCAAGGCAACGAUGCGUAGCCGACCUGAGAGGGUGAUCGGCCACACUGGAACUGAGACACGGUCCAGACUCCUACGGGAGGCAGCAGUAGGGAAUCUUCCGCAAUGGGCGAAAGCCUGACGGAGCAACGCCGCGUGAGUGAUGAAGGUCUUCGGAUCGUAAAGCUCUGUUAUUAGGGAAGAACAAAUGUGGAAGUAAAUAUGCACGUCUUGACGGUACCUAAUCAGAAAGCAACGGCUAACUACGUG
rnacentral:rRNA from 1 species